rnacentral:piRNA from 1 species
UUCUAGAAGAACCAUGGAGGCCUGCC